rnacentral:sRNA from 1 species
AAAAUGGAGCUGGCGCUGGUGCCUGUGAGCGCCCACGGCAACUUCUAUGAGGGGGACUGCUACGUCAUCCUCUCGACCCGGAGAGUGGCCAGUCUCCUAUCCCAGGACAUCCACUUCUGGAUCGGGAAGGACUCCUCCCAGGAUGAGCAAAGCUGCGCAGCCAUCUAUACCACACAGCUGGACGACUACCUGGGAGGCAGCCCUGUGCAGCACCGAGAGGUCCAGUACCAUGAGUCAGACACUUUCCGUGGCUACUUCAAGCAGGGCAUCAUCUACAAGCAGGGGGGUGUCGCCUCUGGGAUGAAGCACGUGGAGACCAAUACCUACGACGUGAAGCGGCUGCUACAUGUGAAAGGGAAAAGAAACAUCAGGGCUACCGAGGUGGAAAUGAGCUGGGACAGUUUCAACCGAGGUGAUGUCUUCUUGCUGGACCUUGGGAAAGUCAUCAUCCAAUGGAAUGGCCCAGAGAGCAACAGUGGGGAGCGCCUGAAGGCUAUGCUUCUGGCAAAGGAUAUUCGAGACAGGGAGCGAGGGGGCCGUGCUGAAAUAGGAGUGAUCGAGGGAGACAAGGAGGCAGCCAGCUCAGAGCUGAUGAAGGUCCUUCAGGACACCUUUGGCCGACGCUCCAUUAUCAAGCCUGCAGUCCCUGAUGAGAUCAUAGAUCAGAAGCAGAAAUCAACUAUCAUGUUGUAUCAUAUCUCAGAUUCAGCUGGGCAGCUGGCAGUCACAGAGGUAGCAACAAGGCCUCUGGUCCAGGACUUACUGAACCAUGAUGACUGCUACAUCCUGGACCAAAGUGGAACCAAAAUCUACGUGUGGAAAGGAAAAGGAGCCACAAAGGCUGAAAAACAGGCAGCCAUGUCUAAAGCGCUGGGCUUCAUCAAGAUGAAGAGCUACCCCAGCAGCACCAAUGUGGAGACCGUCAACGAUGGUGCUGAGUCGGCCAUGUUCAAGCAGCUGUUCCAGAAGUGGUCAGUAAAGGACCAGACCAUGGGCCUGGGGAAAACAUUCAGCAUUGGUAAAAUUGCUAAAGUUUUCCAGGAUAAAUUUGAUGUGACUCUGUUACACACCAAGCCAGAGGUAGCUGCCCAGGAAAGAAUGGUCGAUGAUGGCAACGGAAAAGUUGAGGUCUGGAGAAUUGAGAACCUGGAGCUGGUCCCUGUGGAGUAUCAAUGGUAUGGCUUCUUUUAUGGGGGAGACUGUUAUCUGGUCCUCUACACAUACGAGGUAAACGGGAAGCCACAUCACAUCUUGUACAUCUGGCAGGGCCGCCAUGCCUCACAGGAUGAGCUGGCAGCCUCAGCAUACCAGGCAGUGGAGGUGGAUCGGCAGUUUGAUGGGGCCGCUGUGCAGGUUCGAGUCAGGAUGGGAAUGGAGCCACGCCACUUCAUGGCCAUCUUCAAAGGGAAGCUAGUUAUCUUUGAGGGUGGGACUUCCAGGAAGGGAAAUGCCGAGCCUGACCCUCCAGUAAGACUCUUCCAAAUUCAUGGAAAUGACAAAUCUAACACCAAAGCAGUGGAAGUUCCAGCCUUUGCCUCCUCCCUAAACUCCAGUGAUGUCUUUCUGCUGCGAACUCAGGCAGAGCACUACCUGUGGUAUGGCAAGGUAGGAUGGCUGGGCCCCGGGUCAGACCAGCCCCUCGGAGCCCAGACCUGCACUCCCCUCCUCCUGUCAGCAAGGUCAAAGGACCUAGAGUAGGCUGGAGUGCUUGCUUUGGCAGCACAUAUACUAAAACUGGAAUGAUACAGAGAAGAUUAGCAUGGUCCCUGUGCAAGGAUGGCAUGCAAAUUCAUGAAGCGUUCGAUAUUAAAAAAAAAAAAAUUAAAAA